rnacentral:rRNA from 1 species
AUUGAACGCUGGCGGCAUGCCUAACACAUGCAAGUCGAGCGGAUGAAGGGAGCUUGCUCCUGGAUUCAUCGGCGGACGGGUGAGUAAUGCCUAGGAAUCUGCCUGGUCGUGGGGGAUAACGUCCGGAAACGGGCGCUAAUACCGCAUACGUCCUGUGGGCGCAAUUGGGGGAUCUUCCGACCUCUCGCUUUCAGAUGAGCCUAGGUCGGUUUAGCUAGUUGGGGGGGUAAAGGCCUAGCAAGGCGACGAUCCGUAACUGGUCUGAGAGGAUGAUCAGUCACACUGGAACUGAGACACGGUCCAGACUCCUACGGGAGGCAGCAGUGGGGAAUAUUGGACGAUGGGCGAAAGCCUGAUCCAGCCAUGUCGCGUGUGUGAAGAAGGUCUUCUGAUUGUAAAGCACUUUAAGUUGGGAGGAAGGGCAGUAAGUUAAUACCUUGCUGUAUUGACGGUACCAACAGAAUAAGCACCGGCUAACUUCGUG